GGCACUUUGGCGGAGUGGUUAACGCGAUGCCCUGCUAUUAUUAGCCAGGCAUUUCCUUCGGGAGCGUGUGUUCGAAUCACACAGGUGUCG